rnacentral:rRNA from 1 species
UACAGAGGGUGCAAGCGUUGUUCGGAAUUAUUGGGCGUAAAGGGCGCGUAGGCGGUGCGGUAAGUCUGUCGUGAAAUCUCUGGGCUCAACUCAGAGUCUGCUGCAGAAACUGCCGUGCUUGAGUGUGGGAGAGGUGAGUGGAAUUCCCGGUGUAGCGGUGAAAUGCGCAGAUAUCGGGAGGAACACCUAUGGCGAAGGCAGCUCGCUGGGACGUUACUGACGCUGAGACGCGAAAGCGUGGGGAGCAAACAGG